rnacentral:rRNA from 1 species
CCUACGGGUGACAGCAGUGAGGAAUAUUGGUCAAUGGCCGAGAGGCUGAACCAGCCAAGUCGCGUGAGGGAAGAAUGUCCUACGGAUUGUAAACCUCUUUUGUCCGGGAGCAAAGUCACUCACGUGUGGGUGUUGGAGAGUACCUGAAGAAAAAGCAUCGGCUAACUCCGUGCCAGCAGCCGCGGUAAUACGGAGGAUGCGAGCGUUAUCCGGAUUUAUUGGGUUUAAAGGGUGCGUAGGCGGACUUUUAAGUCAGCGGUAAAAAUUCGGGGCUCAACCCCGUCCGGCCGUUGAAACUGGAGGCCUUGAGUGGGCGAGAAGAAGGCGGAAUGCGUGGUGUAGCGGUGAAAUGCAUAGAUAUCACGCAGAACCCCGAUUGCGAAGGCAGCCUGCCGGCGCGCAACUGACGCUGAUGCACGAAAGCGCGGGGAUCGAACAGGAUUAGAUACCCGUGUAGUC